GAAUUAUUGGGCGUAAAGCGCGCGCAGGCGGUUUCUUAAGUCUGAUGUGAAAGCCCCCGGCUCAACCGGGGAGGGUCAUUGGAAACUGGGGAACUUGAGUGCAGAAGAGGAGAGUGGAAUUCCACGUGUAGCGGUGAAAUGCGUAGAGAUGUGGAGGAACACCAGUGGCGAAGGCGACUCUCUGGUCUGUAACUGACGCUGAGGCGCGAAAGCGUGGGGAGCGAACAGGAUUAGAUACCCUGGUAGUCCACGCCGUAAACGAUGAGUGCUAAGUGUUAGAGGGUUUCCGCCCUUUAGUGCUGCAGCAAACGCAUUAAGCACUCCGCCUGGGGAGUACGGUCGCAAGACUGAAACUCAAAGGAAUUGACGGGGGCCCGCACAAGCGGUGGAGCAUGUGGUUUAAUUCGAAGCAACGCGAAGAACCUUACCAGGUCUUGACAUCCUCUGACAACCCUAGAGAUAGGGCUUCCCCUUCGGGGGCAGAGUGACAGGUGGUGCAUGGUUGUCGUCAGCUCGUGUCGUGAGAUGUUGGGUUAAGUCCCGCAACGAGCGCAACCCUUGAUCUUAGUUGCCAGCAUUCAGUUGGGCACUCUAAGGUGACUGCCGGUGACAAACCGGAGGAAGGUGGGGAUGACGUCAAAUCAUCAUGCCCCUUAUGACCUGGGCUACACACGUGCUACAAUGGGCAGAACAAAGGGCAGCGAAGCCGCGAGGCUAAGCCAAUCCCACAAAUCUGUUCUCAGUUCGGAUCGCAGUCUGCAACUCGACUGCGUGAAGCUGGAAUCGCUAGUAAUCGCGGAUCAGCAUGCCGCGGUGAAUACG
rnacentral:rRNA from 1 species